rnacentral:lncRNA from 1 species
GAUAAUAUUUUCCCAGAAUCUUAUAUGAUUCCAUCUGGUUGCCCCAUUUACCACCUUGGCAGCUUUGAAUCAAUCUUCCCUUAUAUGCAUUAAGCACACAUCCUUAGUAACCUACCCCCUUUCAUGCACAUUGUUAGAGACACCCAUGCUAUAACAACAAACCCAUACAUUUUAGUCCCUUUCAAUUGUCCCUGUUAUACCACUCCAAAUUUAUGAAUCAAUAGACUCCUACUGGAAAGAGAGCUGAAGAGUGAAUUAUAGUGUGAAAUCUCAAUUUUCUCUUACCCAUAAUAUUCCUACCUGUGGAAUUUUGUAAAGACCCAAGAUGUCUGCCAUGCACAAUGUGACCUCAGAGCUCAGUCCUCCAAUGACUCCUAUUACAUUUUCCUGGUAGCCACAUUUGUAGUUGGGGACAAAGCUAUGUGUGUUAAACAGCAGAUCCAGAGUGGUGCGGUAGGUCAUCUUAGAGUUACAGUAGCUGUCAUAGAUGUGGAACCCAAGAGUGACAUUGGGCAAGACCUUGGGAUUCCCAUUGAUCUCAUCAAUCGCAAACACCAGGGCAAGGAUGUGCUGGAAGAACUUUGAUAACACGCUGUGAAUAAAGUGGCAUUAUUUCAUGGGGAAAUAAAAUAGUGCACAUAAUCUAGUUUUGAGAGGUACAACUUUCAAACUAUUGUGGUAUAUAAGGACUAUAAGGAAAGGCAGCAAAGUUAGUCAUGAAGUAAGUAUUAUUGGAAAGAUGGGUCUUGUUUUGUUCCUUUAGAACAGUGUUGGGCCUCCAGCUGUUUUUGGACUACAACUCCCAUCAUUCCUCGCUAGCAAGACCAGUGGUCAAGGAUGAUGGGAAUUGUAGUCCAAAAACAGCUGGAGGCCCAAGGUUGGGGAACACUGCUUUAGAAUGUCUGGAUUCCUCUUUAGCCCAAAUCUGUUUUUUUAAUUCCUCAGACACAUAGAUUCUGAAGAGACCUAUACAGAAUGGGUCAGAAAUUUUCUUGAAUUUAACUUCAUCUUUUGCAUUUCUGACCAUGUUGUUCCUUCUCUGUAUUCAGUUUCAUCUAUAAUCAUGUGCUUUGUCAUAUGGUUAUGCUACAGUUUUUGAAAUUAUUGCUGUAUCCCUUUGGUAGUAGCUUUCUCUGGAAAUGGAAAUUUGCAUUAAAUGAUAAUAAAGCUCAUGAUAGCUGCCAUUUUAAAUGCAAAGUAUCAGGUUUUCAAGAAAAUAAAGAUACAGCAAUGGAGAGUUUCACAUAUCAUAUUUCUACCAAGUAUGCCUACUUGUGAGCUAGCAAUGAUGGUUGUGAAAGGCUCUGAUCCCAUGUUUACAAAAUGCUUUGAAACCAUUCUCCAUUACUAACUUACCUCUGAUUCUUUCCAAUAAAAAUGAACACAAGUAUUUGACCCCCGCCCCCAAUUCAUCAAGGAAACACAGGCUGGCUUUCACUUGCUAUGAAUCCUCAUAACACCCCCUAGGCUGUAGGUAACCCACAGUUUCAUCUAUGUAAGAAGUUUUAGCUAUUUAAGUCUCACCUACCUGUGUUGUACACUUUUUAUCUGCAACUGCAAGUACACUAAGUAAAAGUUAUUGGUUCUUUAAACUUUAAAAGGGAAUGUCUUGCAUAGUUUUUAUAGGAGAAAAAAAGAGACCUCAUUAAAGGAUCAAAUAACCCAAGGCUGACUUUCGCACGCUCUGGAAAUGGGAACUAGAGUCUAAUUCCCACAAGAAGUGCAUCUGGCAACUUCACUACGUAGCUUUCAGCAAAUACUGAAGAGGCACCUCCACACUCUCCAAGAUUCCCUAUUUUACAGGGACGUCCCUGAUUAAGAGAAGCCAUCCUGGUUUAUGAUUGGAUCCUGGAAUGUCCCAGUUUUCCUUAGGAUGUCCCUACUUUCAUUGGAGAAAUGUUGUGUGUGGGGGGUAUGGAGUUAUCCGACCCCCGAGUCAUCUGUAGGCAGCCCUGUAUAGGGAAGUUUUUAAAUGUUUAAUGUAAUAUUAUAUUUUUAUAUAUGUUGGAAGCCACCCAGAG